ACCCUCUAUUUUUAUUUCAUUGCCUGGGGACAUCGACUUACAUUUGGAAAAUAUUGUGUCACAAUUCUGCUCUAUGACACAAUGGCCAUUAGCCACAGGUGGCUACUGAGCACUUGAAACAUAGCUACUCUGAAUUGGGAUGCAUGACCAGUGUAAAAUUCACAGGAUUUCGAAGACUUUGUAAGCUUCCACCUCCCAAAGUACAUCUGUUCUCCUUAGGUGGACUUCAGAAAUGGGCAUUACUCAGGCUGGAGAUGAAUCAGCGCACAAUGAAGGAGACAGGCAGGGGAUCCAGACAAAGGAGAGAAGUAUUGAAAAAAAAUCCCCAUUUAUACCAAAUCAAGAAAGUGAUCCUUUCAGCAGAGGCUGUCUCAAGAAACUUCCACUCCUUCGCAAUGCAAAUUUAACUCAACAACUUGAUUUUCCCAUCAAGUUCAUUAAAAAUGGAAUAAUUUCACA